ACUCAAAUGAAUUGACGGGGGCCCGCACAAGCGGUGGAGCAUGUGGUUUAAUUCGAUGCAACCCGAAAAACCUUACCUACCUUUGAAUCCUCGGAAUCUGCUAGAGAUAGCGGAGUGCCUUCGGGAACCGAGAGACAGGUGCUGCAUGGCUGUCGUCAGCUCGUGUCGUGAGAUGUUGGGUUAAGUCCCGUAACGAGCGCAACCCUUAUCCUUAGUUGCCAGCGAGUAAAGUCGGGAACUUUAGGGAGACUGCCGGUGAUAAACCGGAGGAAGGUGGGGAUGACGUCAAGUCAUCAUGGCCCAUACAGGUAGGGCUACACACGUGCUACAAUGGCCGGUACAAAGGGCUGCCAACCCGCGAGGGGGAGCUAACCUCAAAAAGCCGGUCGUAGUCCGGAUUGGAGUCUGCAACUCGACUCCAUGAAGCUGGAAUCGCUAGUAAUCGUGGAUCAGCAUGCCACGGUGAAUACGUUCUCGGGCCUUGUACACACCGCCCGU
rnacentral:rRNA from 1 species